ensembl:lncRNA
UGUUGAGUGAGUGCAACAUACAGACAAUAUAACUUUUAUAAGUAUAUGUAUCAUUAGAGUAAAAUGUGCUAAUAUCUGUACCCGUGACGAAGGUAAAUCUUAUAAAAAACCUUUCUGUAAAUGGUUUUCUUCGGGUCUAGACUCACCAAACUGACAACAAAGAACCAAAAGAUGCACUUGAACAUUCUGCAAAGACGACACACGACAGCCAACUAGCCUGUACGUUCUGCGCCUGCAUCAGAGGAAAUACCUCUCCAUACCAUCAGGUAACAGUAGUUUGUUGUCGUCAUGCAAAGAGGGAAGACUCUGGACUGAGGUUAAAAAUCUGUUGUUAUCAUACAGUAUUGUUUUCUGACACCACUCCCGCUAACAGUGCCACUUUUAAUCAAGAAUAUGUCUGAUCAAAAGCUGCAAGUUGAAGAGAAAAAGACAGCUGCAUGGACGAUUCUACAGACUCAGUCGGACAAAAAGCCGCCAACAAGUGCUUGAUGUGCAGCACAGUACUGAUUGUUCUGAGAAAAUGCCCAUGCACCACUAUGUGCUCUCAGCGCUGCCAGCACAACCAAGAGCAGGAGAAAAGACGGAGAGAGCGAGGGAGAGACGGAGCCGUGUAGAGUGUCUUCCGCCAAGGUCAAACUACAAUACAGCAAUCUAAUUAAGAGUAUCAGAGAGUUUCCUGUAUAGGGUCAACCUCCCCGUUGUGCUCGCAGGCUCAUGUUGUCCAUUAUGCAUUACAUCAUGUACUCCUACAUGUAAAUGAUGGAUGUGAUGCUGUGAUCUUCCUGUCCACGUUCUUUUUAAUUGAUAAGAGUGUGUAUAGAAAAAGAGUUGUAGCGCCGUUGUCUCUCUGUUUGAGCAGCGGCGUGUACGCGUUGAUUACUGCUCAGGUGCCGCCUGUGAUUUGUUGCAGAGUACAUCGUUGUACCCAGAGGAUACAUCGCAAUAACCUUUGAAAUACUCUCAUUCUUCCUCUAGCGCCCCCUAACGGGCUUAACAUUUCAGUUUUUUAGUGAAAUGACAACGAUUGAAUUGAUCACCAUGACAAUUAAUACUAGCAAUCAAGGUCCCCAGAGGAUGAUCCCAUGACUUCUUUAAUCGAGUGCCACCGGCUCACAAUUGUUACUGAUCUAGUAAAAUAUCUAAACGACUGUCACAUGGAUUGAGAUACAAGUUUGUACAGACAUUCAUGGCUCCCAGAGGAUGCAUUGUAAGAACUUUGGUGAUGCCCAGACAUUUCCUCAAAGGCCAGUUUUGUUUUUAGUGAAUCGUCUUGACAUCUACUGAAUGGAUUGCAAUGGAAAUUUCCACUGGUAUUCUUGGUCCCAAGAGGAUGAUCCAAUGAUUUUAUUGAGUGCUACAGCUCACACUUGUAAAUUAACCAGUAAGAUAUCUCAGCAGAUCUCUAUCAGAGGGAUUGGGAUUCAUUUUUGUGCAGACAUUCCCAGAGGAUGAAUCUUACUGACUUUUUCUCUGUCACCAUUAAACAUUCACAUUUGAAAUACAGAUGCAGUGAAUGUUCCCCUCAGGAUGAAUUGUAAUAACUUUGGUGAUGCCCUGACACUUCCUCAAGUGCCACCACAAGGUUAACAGUUGUGUUUUUAUUUUAACUAUUGAAUAGACUGCAAUG